rnacentral:rRNA from 1 species
UACGUAGGGGUCCGAGCGUUGUCCGGAAUUAUUGGGCGUAAAGGGCUCGUAGGCGGUUUGUCGCGUCGGGAGUGAAAACGCCGGGCUUAACCCGGUGCUUGCUUUCGAUACGGGCAGACUGGAGGUAUGCAGGGGAGAACGGAAUUCCUGGUGUAGCGGUGAAAUGCGCAGAUAUCAGGAGGAACACCGGUGGCGAAGGCGGUUCUCUGGGCAUGACCUGACGCUGAGGAGCGAAAGUGUGGGGAGCGAACAGG